GUAGGUGGCAAGCGUUGUCCGGAAUUAUUGGGCGUAAAGCGCGCGCAGGCGGUUCUUUAAGUCUGAUGUGAAAGCCCACGGCUCAACCGUGGAGGGUCAUUGGAAACUGGAGAACUUGAUUACAGAAGAGGAAAGCGGAAUUCCACGUGUAGCGGUGAAAUGCGUAGAGAUGUGGAGGAACACCAGUGGCGAAGGCGGCUUUCUGGUCUGUAACUGACGCUGAGGCGCGAAAGCGUGGGGAGCAAACAGGAUUAGAUACCCUGGUAGUCCACGCCGUAAACGAUGAGUGCUAAGUGUUAGGGGGUUUCCGCCCCCCUUAGUGCUGCAGCUAACGCAUUAAGCACUCCGCCUGGGAGUACGGCCGCAAGGCUG
rnacentral:rRNA from 1 species